GUGAAAUUCAGCAGGCCUGCUAUGUAAAAGUGUUUUUAGUGAAACGGAAGAAAAUCAGUUGCACUUGGCGUGAACAAUUGGACUUCAGCGUAUUACGGUAAAUGGAAGGAUCCGUUUGUAUCAGUUCAAGCUUCCACAUUUCACACGCCAACCGACGUCCGCAGAGUAAGCAUGAUGUCUAUUACACGGGAAUUCAACUUUACUGACUGUAAAUUUUUGAAUACAAAACUCGUUAUGAUACCCUACGUCGGUGGUAAAACCUCAUUCCUGAUCGUCGUACCAAAUGCUAUAAAUGGACUUAAAGUUCUAUUGGCACAACUGAAGUUAGCUCCGGAAUUGCUGAACAAGGCAAUCGAUGAAAUGAAGCCGAAAAAAGAAGAUAUAGCAAUGCCCAAAUUUAAAAUAGAAUCAAAAAUGGAUCUGCGUAAUAUGCUUGAGAAGGUUGGUGUAAAGCGCAUUUUCAAUAAAUAUGAGUCAGGCUUGAGUGGCAUGGUAAAGGAUAAGAAAGUUUUCGUGUCGAAAGCGACAAAAGCAAUUAUUGAG